CAUAACACUCACGAGAAAUCCAGUGUCAAUAAACAUUGAGAUGGAAAAUCAUGCAAAGAAAAAGAGCCACAUGGGCGACGUUCCAAGUAUCAUGGGUGUGGUCUCUUCAACACACCACAGGAAUACGUUCUCCAAGAAUGAAUCAACGCAAUAUUUAGGAAUAAAAUGGUUGAAUUACCAAAUCAUAUAUGAGAUAGGGAAAUGGUAGACAAAUCCAUGUUUUGCAUAUUUAACAAAAGUCAGUUAUAAAAUUGUAGA
rnacentral:lncRNA from 1 species